UACGUAGGGCGCAAGCGUUAUCCGGAAUUAUUGGGCGUAAAGAGCUCGUAGGCGGUUUGUCGCGUCUGCCGUGAAAGUCCGGGGCUCAACUCCGGAUCUGCGGUGGGUACGGGCAGACUAGAGUGAUGUAGGGGAGACUGGAAUUCCUGGUGUAGCGGUGAAAUGCGCAGAUAUCAGGAGGAACACCGAUGGCGAAGGCAGGUCUCUGGGCAUAAACUGACGCUGAGGAGCGAAAGCAUGGGGAGCGAACAGG
rnacentral:rRNA from 1 species